CUCAACCCUUGUGUUAUUCUAGGCAUGUUUACAUUGAAAGUGGGGUCAUUUGGACCCCACAAGACAGCACACAGGACCCUAUUUUUCAAGGACUUUUUUUGCCUUCACUGGUGUCUGUGGCAGACAAAAACCUGUCCACCUUUGUCAUGGGAGGGGUCACACCAAUAUAAGGGUGGGGUCAUCUGGGCCCCUUAAGAGAGCACGAGGGUUAAAUGGACUUGUGCUUUCCUGUUUUUCCAUCUAAAAUCUCAGCUUCACUGAAUCAAUUUCACAAAUCUAGAGGACGAAUCAAAUGCCCUCCAGACAGGCGGCGUGCUCUCACUGGACAAUUCUGCUCAAGAGUUUGAAAAGUCAUUUUAAGAUCAAACUGUUGCACUGCAAAGCAUUCCUGCAAACUGUUGGGACUUGGAAUAUUCCUGAGGAACCUGGUCUUUCAGUGCAUUCGCUCUGUCAGCUGACCCGACCUGCUGCCAAAAGAAACGCAUUCGUCACGCGGUGUUUUUCCAGGGAAAAGUUCAGCUCAGGUAUGGACACGUUUACCUGCAGUCAGCUGAUUUCAUUCAGACCAGACGGCCUGGUUCCUGCUCAGGAAAAACAUCUUUACACCCACAACAAGUUGGACAACUACUGAAAGAGUUUCUUCGAAAAAGCUGUAUGUGAAGAGGUGGUUUAAAAACAGAGCUCGCUCGGUUUGUGCGCAUGCGCGUGCAGCAGGUGUGGGUUCUUGCUCCUCCACGCCAGACUGGAAGGUUACAGUUUGUGACUUUAACUUUAGACCAAAAGAGGAAGUCGAUAUGUAUUCUUCAAGUCUUCACAAGCAGCAGAGCAAAGCCUUCCCGCCGCUCCACGGGACGCUCUGCGCAUGCGCAGGAGCCAGCCGCAGUCCUUUAGCUUCAGUUUAGCGAACAUGAACGGUCACAUGAGGACUCUGUGAUCAACAUGUUUGUUUGUCGCAUGACGUCAAUGUUUGGGUUUCUACCCAGAGCAGCGCAAAGCUGCAGAGACGAGAAUAACUGCAGGUUCGCCCCAAAAAGCAGCGCAGACAACAGCGACCUGCAGCCAGGAGUUUUCUGUCGACACGACUCGAGAACCUCCAGGACAACAGAAGUGACUGCUCUUACCUGGUGUCGUCCAACAGGUUAUGCAGUCUGCACAGGAUCGGGGAUCCCAAAAAAAGCGGAACAAACGAGGCUUUAUGGAGCUUUAAAUAUCCAUACCACGUCACAGGAAGGCUACGGAGCCCCUGAAAGAAUCAAAAAAUUUCAGUUUCAAACCUUUUGGCCCCAACGUGCUGAAGAUGCUAGAGCUGAUACCUGAAAACGCUGAAGCUGAUAGCUUGCUACUGUCAUGAAGGAGCUGCAGACAUGCAGUUGGAUCGUCUGUUGCCUCUGUUGCUGAGUCAGUGAGUUCCAGUGUGUCUCCGUUUCUCACCUGCCUGUUCAAACACUCUUCCAAGCCGCUUCCUCCUGCACUGACCUGUCACGUUCUCCUUCUGGAGCCCUCUCUCUGUUUGAACAGGAUCUUCUGCUGUUCCUCUGGAUUCCCAAGAUGACAGGAGAGACUGAGACUAAUGGAUUCUAAUCAAGUUCUGCUCUAGUCAGACCUCCAGCGUCUCUCCCCUCUCACUCCACCCUCCACUUUCAACAUCUCCGCCCUCCUGAGAAAAGACUGUUCCUCCACCUGUGGACCAUAGACUUUUCCCUGAAGCUCUUCUCCAUCCUGAGCCUAAAUAAACUUUUUCUG
rnacentral:lncRNA from 1 species